AUUGUUUCUUGGUCUUUUGGCAAAGAUCAAGCAUAGUUAUCUGUUCUUAUCAGUUUAUCAUCCGACACGUCCUCUAACCAAGGACCGCAUCUUACCGUAAAUGGAUUUUUGCAGCAGGGAGGUGAAAUAGGAGUUUCCUCCAUCCAUGCCAGGCAGUGACCUGGUUUAGUACCCUCAGGAAUGGUGCACACUAU